UACGGAGGGGGCUAGCGUUGUUCAGAAUUACUGGGCGUAAAGCGCACGUAGGCGGCUUUGUAAGUUAGAGGUGAAAGCCCGGGGCUCAACUCCGGAAUUGCCUUUAAGACUGCAUCGCUAGAAUUGUGGAGAGGUGAGUGGAAUUCCGAGUGUAGAGGUGAAAUUCGUAGAUAUUCGGAAGAACACCAGUGGCGAAGGCGACUCACUGGACACAUAUUGACGCUGAGGUGCGAAAGCGUGGGGAGCAAACAGG
rnacentral:rRNA from 1 species